rnacentral:rRNA from 1 species
GACGUAGGGGGCCAGCGUUGUUCGGAAUUACUGGGUGUAAAGGGUUCGUAGGCGGUGUGGCAAGUCGGGAGUGAAAUCUCUGGGCUCAACUCAGAGACUGCUUCCGAAACUGCUGUGCUGGAGUGUGGGAGAGGCGCGUGGAAUUGCAGGUGUAGCGGUGAAAUGCGUAGAUAUCGUUUGGAACGCCAAUGGUGAAAACAGGUUGCUGGGAGUGUGCUGACGCUGAGACACGAAAGCCAGGGGAGCAAACGGG